CAUAAACUCAGACGGGCACAUUCUAUCACCACUACGGCUCCAAGGACACGAUGCUUUCAACUAUUAAACAUGGAUGAUCUGAAAACACGAGUAGUGAUCGUGAAAUUUGGGGCGAUGGCAUGGAGAAGGUAUUCAUUGACAUGCUUUACCAAGAUGCCAUUCAUGGUAGAUUAAUAACUGGCAAUAUCAUGUGUAGAGAGCAUACCACUUAUGCUGAGCGGCUCACCGCUGUUGGUGUGAGGGUGUUGGACGCAAGCCAAAUUCGGGGCAAAAUCCAGAGCUUGAAGGCCCAACAACAUCUGUUUACCGAUCUAAUGAGCCAAAUUGGGAUGGGUUGGAUCCUAAAAGGAAGACGGUAGUGGGGAGUGAUGAGGCCUGGGAAAAUGCCAACAGGGUAAGGCAAUUAACUUGUGCCCUUAUUAUCUAAUUUUUCAUGUGUCCAACUUUAUUAUUGACAUGUGUGUAUUAUGAAAAUUUCAGAUAAAAAAUAAAUGAGGGAGGGAGGUUUCAGACAUUUGGCCUACCAAAGUUCGAGGAGUCGUGAAC